rnacentral:rRNA from 1 species
GCUUAACACAUGCAAGUCGAGCGCCUGUAGCAAUACAGGAGCGGCAGACGGGAGAGUAACACGUGGGAACGUACCCUUCAGUUCGGAACAACCCAGGGAAACUUGGGCUAAUACCGGAUACGUCCGUAAGGAGAAAGAUUCAUCGCUGAGGGAUCGGCCCGCGUCUGAUUAGCUUGUUGGUGAGGUAACGGCUCACCAAGGCUACGAUCAGUAGCUGGUCUGAGAGGAUGAUCAGCCUCACUGGGACUGAGACACGGCCCAGACUCCUACGGGAGGCAGCAGUGGGGAAUAUUGGACAAUGGGCGCAAGCCUGAUCCAGCCAUGCCGCGUGGGUGAUGAAGGCCCUAGGGUUGUAAAGCCCUUUCGGCGGGGAAGAUAAUGACGGUACCCGCAGAAGAAGCCCCGGCUAACUUCGUGCCAGCCGCCGCGGUAAUAC